GAUCCUGGCUCAGGAUGAACGCUAGCUACAGGCUUAACACAUGCAAGUCGAGGGGCAGCAUUGGGAUAGCUGCUAUUCAGAUGGCGACCGGCGCACGGGUGAGUAACGCGUAUCCAACCUUCCUGCCAGUAGGGAACAGCCCGGCGAAAGUCGGAUUAAUGCCCUAUGUUCUUCAAUGCGGACAUCUAAGUUGAAGGAAAGAUUCAUCGCUGGCAGAUGGGGAUGCGUCCGAUUAGCUUGCCGGCGGGGUAACGGCCCACCGGGGCGACGAUCGGUAGGGGUUCUGAGAGGAAGGUCCCCCACACUGGUACUGAGACACGGACCAGACUCCUACGGGAGGCAGCAGUGAGGAAUAUUGGUCAAUGGGCGUAAGCCUGAACCAGCCAAGUAGCGUGCAAGGAUGACGGCCCUACGGGUUGUAAACUGCUUUUAUGCGGGGAUAAAGUGCGGCACGUGUGCCGCUUUGCAGGUACCGCAUGAAUAAGGACCGGCUAAUUCCGUGCCAGCCGCGGC
rnacentral:rRNA from 1 species